rnacentral:tRNA from 4 species
GCCGAGGUGGCGAAAUUGGCAGACGCGCCAGCUUUAGGAGCUGGUACCGCAAGGUGUGGAGGUUCAAGUCCUCUCCUCGGCA